UACAGAGGGGGCAAGCGUUGUUCGGAAUUACUGGGCGUAAAGGGCGCGUAGGCGGCCUUCUAAGUCGAACGUGAAAUCCCCGGGCUCAACCCGGGAACUGCGUCCGAUACUGGAAGGCUUGAAUCCGGGAGAGGGAUGCGGAAUUCCAGGUGUAGCGGUGAAAUGCGUAGAUAAUCUGGAGGAACACCGGUGGCGAAGGCGGGUCUCUGGGCCGAUACUGACGCUGAGGAGCGAAAGCGUGGGGAGCGAACAGG
rnacentral:rRNA from 1 species